rnacentral:lncRNA from 1 species
GGAAUCUUUCAGUCCAACCAUCUAAGUAACCUGAACCAGAGAAAAAACAAGACUACCAUGUCCAGCCAGCAGAAUGCUAUAAUAUGCUAUGAUGACUGGAAUCCUUGUUAACCAAUUCCAGCAACCUCCUAUCACCUCUCCGUUGAGACCAGCAUGAAGGUCGAAGCUCACACCACCUCUGCAGACUCAUUUCAUCCCUCCCCUGCCUACGGUCACCUGUGUGGUUGCCCGGGCCAGAAACAAAUACCCAAAUGCAGCAUUUGAGAGAUUUCUACUUGUCUGUUGCCUCCUCGAGAACAGCACGUAACUGCAAUGCAGCCUGUACAGGAGGACGGAGGGAAGGAAAAGCCAGAGCCAGGUCUUGAGCUGAGGAGGGCAGAGUCUUGCGGAGGGCCCUCAGGACUGGGUGAUGCUGUGAGGGAGCAUGAAUCCCGUGUCCCUGAGGAUCCUGAGCGCUACUCGGCCAUUGGGUCGGAUCACCAGGUGGGUGAUGCUGCCAUUGUUGAGGGAGCAAUGGAGCCAGCCUUCGGGAGGAAACUGCAGCGCUGUGUCCUGUCAUCUGCAGCGAAUGACACUGGCGUGACAUCGGAAGAUCUCCUAAUUAUCCUUCCCCUGCUUGGCAUCCCCCGAGGGUUGUAGUUUCGGAGCGCUCCCUCGAUCCGGACUCCAUCUUCAUAGCAUGCCCAGCGGCCGCUUCUAGUGAUACGCUGCCAGGCUGGCUUGACGAGGAGGGUUCCCGCCCCAGGUCUGUGCGGCCUUUGAAGACCCUUGGCGGGUGCCUGUUGCUGAAGCCAGUGGUUUCUGUGGGGUGGGUCAUGGAGGAAUGCACGAUUUUAUUAAACCUCAACCCCAAGCUUGCAAGUCGGAGUCCAGUUAGUUCGACCUGUUCACGACCCGGUGGGUUCAGACUGCAGUCCUUUUCCAGGGAGCCGUCCACAUGGUAUUGGGAACGCAUGACGAGGAGGGUGUGCCCUGUGGCCUUGACUCUGCAGUGGUCCAGCCUGGAAGCCAGCUCUUCUCCAGAUUCCACGUUCCUCUUCCUUAGGUUGUUC